rnacentral:lncRNA from 1 species
UAUCCUCGCGUACAAAAUUUUGGAUAUGAUUUGACCACAUAGUUUGGUUCCUGCACAAAUUCGCGUAUCCAAUCAUCGAACACAAAACCUCUGGCCAAACCAUCAUUCACCUAUAAAUUAAAAACAUAUAUGAUUGAAAAGUUAAUUAGUUUAUAUUAAAUUUAAACUACUCAUUUGCAUAGGGUAAUAUGAUAUAUGCAUGACAUCUAAAUUAUGCCGCAAUAGAUGACUCUCCCAAUAUGACAGAUCCCAAAAAAUACUCUUUUUGUGCCAGUUAUGUAGCUCUCCAACCACACUGACUCGAAUGUUUUCAUGUCCACCUACAUCUGGCGUCCUUUCUGCAUCAAAAUACCUAAACUGCUUCAACAAAUCUUUCCCACUAACUUCCUUAGGUGGACCAUCAAACACCUGCUUGUUCUUCGUAAACGAAGUC